AACCGGCAUUUUUUUUUUCAAGUACUAGGGGCAGCCCCCGCCCGACCCCGUCCACCUGGCUCUUCUAAUCUUGACGGCUUGACGCAUCUUCAGUCUUCAUCCAGGGAGAGAGGCUGUCCGGUUUUGUGGUCCGAGGGAGAGAGGAGUGGAAGUAUGAGUGUGAGCUGUAUGCAUGGCAUGGCGCUGCUCGCAUUCACGUGGAUACAGCAGAGGUUAAUGCAUGCUUUCUGAUCAACCCCUUGGUUAACUUUUGUCAAAUCAACACGGCGAUACUAGUACAGUUCGACAGCAUUAAUUCGACACAUAUAUACGCUAUUUUUUUAAUGGAAGCAUAUAUACGCUAAUUAAGACGUACGUACACUUUAUGUCGUAUUUAGUGUUAUAUAUAUGCAUGGAAUGUGU
rnacentral:lncRNA from 1 species